rnacentral:tRNA from 1 species
GACUCUGUAGCUUAGUUGGUUAUAGCGCUGCAUUGGAAUCGCAGGUUCGAUUCCUGCCAGAUGGCC